CCUACGGGAGGCUGCAGUGGGGAAUAUUGGACAAUGGGGGGAACCCUGAUCCAGCCAUGCCGCGUGUGUGAAGAAGGCCCUCGGGUUGUAAAGCACUUUCAGUGAGGAAGAACGCCUGGUGGUUAAUACCCAUCAGGAAAGACAUCACUCACAGAAGAAGCACCGGCUAACUCCGUGCCAGCAGCCGCGGUAAUACGGAGGGUGCGAGCGUUAAUCGGAAUUACUGGGCGUAAAGCGCGCGUGGGUGGCUUGAUAAGCCGGUUGUGAAAGCCCCGGGCUCAACCUGGGAACGGCAUCCGGAACUGUCAAGCUAGAGUGCAGGAGAGGAAGGUAGAAUUCCCGGUGUAGCGGUGAAAUGCGUAGAGAUCGGGAGGAAUACCAGUGGCGAAGGCGGCCUUCUGGACUGACACUGACACUGAGGUGCGAAAGCGUGGGUAGCAAACAGGAUUAGAUACCCCAGUAGUC
rnacentral:rRNA from 1 species